ensembl:lncRNA
GUGAUCUUAAGAAUCGAGUGCUAAAAGUGGCAGUUCGUCCAUUAGCUUGAGUCCCUGCAUGACCCUGUGGAGCAAAGCCCUCUGUUGACUCACUUCAUGGUGAUGUCAUAGAGACACACCUCUUUAAUGUGUUGGGUUGCUCAGAGUAUGAAGUUGUUUGUUAUAGCAUCUGGAGUUAACUACCCUGACUAAUACAUUGUGUGACUAUUUCAAGGUGCACAGUAACUCAAAGGAAAAAAAAAAAAAAUGGCCCGGAGCCUAGGUCUCUUGAUCCCUAGUCCAGUAAGUUCUCUACUUCUGGAAUAUGUCUUGUACUGCCUCUAAAAUGACAAGUCUCUCCCCCGAGGCCCCACCUUUAUUCACUAGAAUAAUGACAUGGUCCCAUUGUUUUUCUAGGUGGCCGAUCUUGUUGAGGUUAGCAAGCAUGAUGGCGGCAUCGUCUGCUGACCCAAUUUCUCUCCCUUGACUGUGUUGAGGGAUUUUAUGAAGUUCAUGGAUCUUCUUCUAAAGUCACACCGACUCCUGUAGGAUUCGGACUGUGGGCCAGUGCGGACUUAUAACCAAAUGGCCAGAGAUACAAGGAGGUCCCAUGCACAUGUGAUGUCUGCUGAAACCCCCUCCUGUUCAGCCACGAUGUCUCUCUGGAAGGAGAGCAGCAAUACAGAAUUCACCCUUGUGGGUCAACUCCCAAUAAGCACCUCAAAGCCCCUGAAAAUAUAUCCCAGAUAGAUCUUUUCAGACUGACAUAAGAGAACCACCCCCAGAACAUUAUUGAAAACAUUGCCAAUAAAAGUGAUGAACCACUUUUGCAAGUGACUCAACACUAAAACUUUUUUUUCCUUCUUUGCCUCGCACGACAUCCCCUUCAUCUGUCUUAUAUUGUAAUCAGAUACAACCUUGAUAGAAUGAAAG